GACGAACGCUGGCGGCGUGCUUAACACAUGCAAGUCGAGCGGUAAGGCCCUUUCGGGGGUACACGAGCGGCGAACGGGUGAGUAACACGUGGGUGACCUGCCCUUAGCUCUGGGAUAAGCCUGGGAAACUGGGUCUAAUACCGGAUAUGACUCCAUGACGCAUGUUGUGGGGUGGAAAGCCUUGUGCGGCUAGGGAUGGGCCCGCGGCCUAUCAGCUUGUUGGUGGGGUGAUGGCCUACCAAGGCGACGACGGGUAGCCGGCCUGAGAGGGCGACCGGCCACACUGGGACUGAGACACGGCCCAGACUCCUACGGGAGGCAGCAGUGGGGAAGUCUUGCGCAAUGGGCGAAAGCCUGACGCAGCCAUGCCGCGUGAAUGAUGAAGGUCUUAGGAUUGUAAAAUUCUUUCAGCGGGGACGAUAAUGACGGUACCCGCAGAAGAAGCCCCGGCUAACUUCGUGCCAGCAGCCGCCGCGGUAAC
rnacentral:rRNA from 1 species